rnacentral:rRNA from 1 species
AGGGCACACGGUGAAUGCCUAGGCUCUCAGAGGCGAAGAAGGACGUAAUAGGCUGCGAUAAGCUACGAGUAGGUGCCUAUAACCGUUCAGUCGUAGAUUUCCGAAUGGGGCAACCUAUUCAUUUUAAUGAAUGAUAUAAUCGCAAACCUGCCGAACUGAAACAUCUAAGUAAGCAGAGGAAGAGAAAAUAAUAAUGAUUUCCUGAGUAGCGGCGAGCGAAAAGGAAAGAGCCCAAACCUAUGUAGUUUAGGCUAUGUAGGGGUUGUAGGACCGUAAUGAUGAUAUGUUUGGUGAGUGGAACUAAUUGGAAAGUUAGACCAUAGGGGGUGAUAGUCCCGUACACGAAGCUAGAUAUAUUUGACACGGUAUCCUGAGUACCGCGGGGCAAGAGGAACCCUGUGGGAAUCUGCCGGGACCAUCCGGUAAGGCUAAAUACUCCUGAGAGACCGAUAGUGAACUAGUACCGUGAGGGAAAGGUGAAAAGUAUCUCGAAUAGAGAGGUGAAAAGAACCUGAAACCGUGUGCUUACAAGCGGUCGGAGCCAAUUUAUUUGGUGACGGCGUGCCUUUUGCAUAAUGAGCCUACGAGUUGCUCUUCACUAGCAAGAUUAAGUGCUUCAGGCACGAAGUCGUAGCGAAAGCGAGUCUGAAUAGGGCGUUAAGUUAGUGGAGGCAGACGCGAAACCUUGUGAUCUACCCAUGAUCAGGUUGAAGCUCUGGUAACACAGAGUGGAGGACCGAACCAGUUGACGUUGAAAAGUCUUUGGAUGACUUGUGGGUAGGGGUGAAAGGCUAAUCAAACUAGGAGAUAGCUCGUACUCCCCGAAAUGCUUUUAGGAGCAGCCUUCGGUAUAAGUGUUAUAGAGGUAGAGCUACGAAUUGGGUAAGGGGGCUUCAUCGCCUACCGAACUCAGAUAAACUCCGAAUACUAUAACAUGUUCCCGAGGAGUGAGGGCAUGGGUGCUAAGGUCCUUGUCCGAGAGGGAAACAACCCAGACCAUCAGUUAAGGUCCCUAAAUCUAUUCUAAGUUGAGCUAACGAGGUUCAAUUGCAUUGACAGCUAGGAUGUUGGCUUGGAAGCAGCCAUUCAUUUAAAGAGUGCGUAACAGCUCACUAGUCGAGCGAUUGAGCAUGGAUAAUGAACGGGCAUAAGAAUAGUACCGAAACUAUGGAUUGCAGUUUACUGCAGUGGUAGGGGAGCAUUCUAACAUCAGUGAAGAUGUAUCGUAAGGUAUGUUGGAGAGGUUAGAAAAGAAAAUGUAGGCAUAAGUAACGAUAAAGCAGGCGAGAAACCUGCUGGCCGUAAGACUAAGGUUUCCUGAUCAACGCUAAUCGGAUCAGGGUUAGUCGGGACCUAAGACGAACCGAUUUAGGGUAGUCGAUGGACAACAGGUUAAUAUUCCUGUACCAAGUAGAGAGGACGGAGAUGGCGAGAUGUUGCGUACUGACGGAAUAGUACGUUGAAGGGAGGCGUGAGCCCCUGAUAGUACCACGAGUUUUCGGAUGAGUGGAUAAUGCAUCAACCGAUCUUCCAAGAAAAGCCUCUACACUAAAGCCCGUACCGCAAACCGACACAGGUAGUCGAGGAGAGUAUCCUAAGGCCCUCGAGUGAGUCGUGGUUAAGGAACUAGGCAAAUUAACCCUGUAACUUCGGGAUAAGGGGAGCCACCUUCGGGUGGCCGCAGAGAAAUGGCCCAGGCGACUGUUUAUCAAAAACACAGGGCUUUGCAAAAACGAAAGUUGAAGUAUAAGGCCUGACACCUGCCCGGUGCUGGAAGGUUAAGGAAGGGGGUCAUCUUCGGAGAAGCUCUUAACUGAAGCCCCAGUAAACGGCGGCCGUAACUAUAACGGUCCUAAGGUAGCGAAAUUCCUUGUCGGGUAAGUUCCGACCUGCACGAAUGGUGUAACGAUCUGGGCACUGUCUCAACCACGAGCUCGGUGAAAUUGUAGUAUCGGUGAAGAUGCCGGUUACCCGCAACGGGACGAAAAGACCCCGUGCACCUUUACUAUAGCUUCACAUUGGUUUUGGUUAUAUAUUGUGUAGGAUAGGUGGGAGACUAUGAAGCAGCGUCGCUAGGCGUUGUGGAGUCAUUGUUGAAAUACCACCCUAUAUAUAAUUGAAGUCUAACUCCCUCUAAGAGGGAGGACAGUGUGUGGUGGGUAGUUUGACUGGGGUGGUCGCCUCCAAAAAAGUAACGGAGGCUUUCA